rnacentral:rRNA from 1 species
AUUGAACGCUGGCGGCAUGCCUUACACAUGCAAGUCGAACGGCAGCACGGGUGCUUGCACCUGGUGGCGAGUGGCGAACGGGUGAGUAAUACAUCGGAACAUGUCCUGUAGUGGGGGAUAGCCCGGCGAAAGCCGGAUUAAUACCGCAUACGAUCGACGGAUGAAAGCGGGGGACCUUCGGGCCUCGCGCUAUAGGGUUGGCCAAUGGCUGAUUAGCUAGUUGGUGGGGUAAAGGCCCACCAAGGCGACGAUCAGUAGCUGGUCUGAGAGGACGACCAGCCACACUGGGACUGAGACACGGCCCAGACUCCUACGGGAGGCAGCAGUGGGGAAUUUUGGACAAUGGGCGAAAGCCUGAUCCAGCAAUGCCGCGUGUGUGAAGAAGGCCUUCGGGUUGUAAAGCACUUUUGUCCGGAAGGAAAUCCUUGGCUCUAAUACAGUCGGGGGAUGACGGUACCGGAAGAAUAAGCACCGGCUAACUACGUGCCAGCAGCCGCAGUAA